rnacentral:rRNA from 1 species
UUUACCCUUUGGCGGCCUUUUUUCUAUCUAGAGGAACUUACUUCUAAUCGAUAUUGCGCGCUAAAUUUCACUUUUUUUUAGGUUUUAUACCGCCGUCUAAAGACCUUAAUAAAAUCUUUCAUCUCUAAGAUCAAGUAAAAAAGUCAGGUCAAGGUGAAGCCUAUAAAAAAGAUAAAACCGAGUUACUUAUUUUAUAUAAAAAUGGAUUCUUACGCUGAAGCCCAAAUAAAAAAGGAUCUAACAGUAAUACAACUUUAAAACACCCGUAUGAACUAGCCAAAAAGGUGCACAUAUCGCCCGUCACCCUCAUCCAAAG